UUAGAUACCCCACUAUGCCUAGCCCUAAACCUAAGAUAGUUACCUUAACAAAACUACUCCGCCAGAGGAACUACUAGCAACAGCUUAAAACUCAAAGGACUUGGCGGUGCUUUACAUCCCUCUAGAGAAGCCUGUUCUA
rnacentral:rRNA from 1 species